AAUAAAAUGGGGGGGGGGGGGGAGGGAGUGGAUAGAAGAGGAGAGGGAAGAGUCUCGCAGCGGAGAAAAGACGUAAGGGUGAAGAGGGACUUUCAAAAUGCCCCAGGACCUAGGUGCCUCGGAAGCGGACUGCCUGGGACAGCCCCCUCCCCACACAAACUGAAACGCGGGAGACUAGAAAACAGCAAGCGUAUGGGCCUCCAGCCACAUCUCUUCCUUUCUCCCUGGAGAGGACACUCAGAAUUUCCAGCACAGGAGAGUGAACGGGCUGGGGCUCAAAAAUCAUCCCUUUCUUAGAGGCCCGUUAUUUGAUGUCUGCAUGGGACAGACUUCAUAUUCAAGCUUUGAAAAGGAUAUGCAAAAGAGCUGGGCCAACCUAAGAUGAAACUUCAGAAUUGAAAAUUGGUAAGAUUUAAGGAAGUACGGAAAAAUUCACAUCCCCCUUUAGCCUUAUCUCCACUAUUUACCCCAUUUUACAGUUAUUUCUUUGAAGUAAAACAGUGUUUAAGGGAAAAAUAAUACAUUAUUCCCACAUUCAUGUUACUGAGUUAUUGGAAACGUUACCAGACUUGACAGCAAAGAAAAAAUAAAAGGCAAGAGAAAUUCGCAUUCAAAACUUCCUACAGCCUAAUUUUACCCUGAAAUAGUAUCAGCCUCACUGUAGGUUGAAGUAACUUCUUGUGCAUAGGUUUGGGAUUUGAAAAUAACAUUGUGCUGAAAUUCAGUUUGGAGCGACAAUCCCCAAACCUAGAGUUCCUCAAGCAUUUUUGGUACAGGACUCAUUCUUCAGUUAGGAAUUACUAGUAAGAGAAUGGAUUAUAAUAAAGUUAUUCUGAUUAUAAAAUUUAAAGAAUCUGCCUGCAUUCAAACAUACGAAUAAUUUUUGAACGUUUCUCUAACAGAGACUAUAUAUAAAUUGGAAAAAAGUAUCAAAAAAUAAAUUGGAAAAAAGUAUCAAAUGACAUGGACUGGUAAUAGAGAUUCCUGAAAUCAUUCCAGCCAUAUUAGGAGUUAAUAGGCUUUUGAGGAAGGAAAUAAUUGUUAUUUAGCACUUACAAUUAAUCAAUCUCUAUAGAUGAUGAAUUGAAUCCCUAUAAACCCAAUAAGGUUCUGUAGUUCACAGAAUUGGAAAGUAUCACUUAAUAAAUUGUGUGUUAUGAACUAGCUAUCUUCUGUAUUCAUCCUUUUCCUUCUUAGUAACUUCUAUUCCCGUCAGUCUUUAGACCUCAACAAAAUUGCAGUGGCUCUGAGAAGUGAUCUUAAGUUUUGAGUUGUCUCAUUGAGGACAUUUUAAGAGAAACUCACUCCUCCCCACCCGGGUUUUAAACUCCAUGAAGGAUUUUUUUUUUCUCAUUUCCAGAUCCUGAACACAUGGACCAGUGUUAACACAUAGCACUCACUCUGUACGUACUACAGCUAAUCAUACCAAUGUCAACUGUUCCUAUUUUAUUGUAAUAAAUAAUACACUGAUUAAUACAGCUAAACUGCUUUCUAUAAUCUUA